GACGAACCGUGCGAACGUUAUUCGGAAUCAUUGGGCUUAAAGCGCGUGUAGGCGGGUUCGUGCGUCCGACGCUGAAAUCCCCCGGCUCAACCGGGGAACGGGCGGGGAUACGACGAGCCUGGAGGGGCGUAGGGGGACCCGGAACUUCCGGUGGAGCGGUGAAAUGCGUUGAGAUCGGAAGGAACGCCCGUGGCGAAAGCGAGGUCCUGGACGCCUACUGACGCUGAGACGCGAAAGCCAGGGGAGCGAACGGG
rnacentral:rRNA from 1 species